rnacentral:rRNA from 1 species
UACGUAGGGGGCAAGCGUUGUCCGGAUUUAUUGGGCGUAAAGGGCGCGUAGGCGGUUGGAUAAGUCAGCUGUGAAAACCACGGGCUUAACUCGUGGCCUGCAGUUGAGACUGUCUGGCUUGAGUGUGGGAGAGGAGAGUGGAAUUCCUGGUGUAGCGGUGAAAUGCGUAGAUAUCAGGAGGAGCACCGGUGGCGAAGGCGGCUCUCUGGACCACAACUGACGCUGAGGCGCGAAAGCUAGGGGAGCAAACAGG